rnacentral:rRNA from 1 species
UACGGAGGGGCUAGCGUUGUUCGGAAUUACUGGGCGUAAAGCGCACGUAGGCGGCUUUGUAAGUUAGAGGUGAAAGCCCGGGGCUCAACUCCGGAAUUGCCUUUAAGACUGCAUCGCUAGAAUUGUGGAGAGGUAAGUGGAAUUCCGAGUGUAGAGGUGAAAUUCGUAGAUAUUAGGAAGAAACACCGAGUGGCCGAAGGCGGCUAC